rnacentral:rRNA from 1 species
AUGCCGCAUUGGCUCCGGGGUGGAGAGAUAAGUUCCUGGCGUACAAGCGCCUCAAGGUGCUCGUCCGACUCGUCUCCGGCUCCUCGCCGCACCGUGCCGCAGCCGAGGCCGCCUUCGUGCGGCUCCUCAACGACGAGGUCGACAGGUUCAAUGUCUUCUUCCUUGAGCAGGAGGAAGAGUUCAUCAUCCGCCACAGGGAAGUAA